AGAGUUUGAUCCUGGCUCAGAGCGAACGCUGGCGGCAUGCUUAACACAUGCAAGUCUCACGGGCAGCAAUGUCAGUGGCGGACGGGUGAGUAACGCGUAGGGAUCUAUCCUUGGGUGGGGGAUAACUGUGGGAAACUACAGCUAAUACCGCAUGAUACCUGUGGGUCAAAGGCGCGAGUCGCCUAAGGAGGAACCUGCGUACGAUUAGCUAGUUGGUGGGGUAAAGGCCUACCAAGGCGACGAUCGUUAGCUGGUCUGAGAGGAUGAUCGGCCACAUUGGGACUGAGACACGGCCCAAACUCCUACGGGAGGCAGCAGUGGGGAAUAUUGGACAAUGGGGGAAACCCUGAUCCAGCAAUGCCGCGUGUGUGAAGAAGGUCUUCGGAUUGUAAAGCACUUUCGACGGGGACGAUGAUGACGGUACCCGUAGAAGAAGCCCCGGCUAACUACGUGCCAGCAGCCGCGGUAAUACGUAGGAGACGAGCGUUGUCCGGAGUUACUGGGCGUAAAGGGUGCGCAGGCGGCUGGUCGCGUGUGCGGUGAAAUCUCCUGGCUUAACUGGGAGGGGGCCGUGCAAACGGGCUGGCUUGAGGCUCGGCGAGGGGCGUGGAAUUCCGGGUGGAGCGGUGAAAUGCGUAGAGAUCCGGAGGAACACCGACGGCGAAGGCAGCGCCCUGGACGAGACCUGACGCUCAGGCACGAAAGCUGGGGGAGCGAACAGGAUUAGAUACCCUGGUAGUCCCAGCUGUAAACGAUGUCCACCAGGUGCCGCGGGUAUCGACCCCUGCGGCGCCGCAGCUAACGUGAUGAGUGGACCGCCUGGGGAGUACGGCCGCAAGGUUAAAACUCAAAGGAAUUGACGG
rnacentral:rRNA from 1 species